GACGAACGCUGGCGGCGUGCUUAACACAUGCGAGUCGAACGCUGAAGCUCAGCUUUUGUUGGGUGGAUGAGUGGCGAACGGGUGAGUAACACGUGAGUAACCUGCCUCCUUCUUUGGGAUAACGCCCGGAAACGGGUGCUAAUACUGGAUAUUCACUGGUCUUCGCAUGGGGGUUGGUGGAAAGGGUUUUUCUGGUGGGGGAUGGGCUCGCGGCCUAUCAGCUUGUUGGUGGGGUGAUGGCCUACCAAGGCUUUGACGGGUAGCCGGCCUGAGAGGGUGACCGGGCACAGUGGGACUGAGAUACGGCCCAGACUCCUACGGGAGGCAGCAGUGGGGAAUAUUGCACAAUGGGCGCAAGCCUGAUGCAGCGACGCCGCGUGAGGGAUGGAGGCCUUCGGGUUGUGAACCUCUUUCGCUCAUGGUCAAGCCGCAACAAUGGUUGUGGUGAGGGUAGUGGGUAAAGAAGCGCCGGCUAACUACGUG
rnacentral:rRNA from 1 species